AAUAUUUGUAGCAAGACAAUCUGGAAGCUGAGAAGACCAAGAUUGGGGCAACAGAAGAUUCAGUGUCUGGUGAGAUCCUUUGCUCUGCUUCAUUGAUGGGUGUUCUCUGUGCUUCCUCACAGCGAGGGGUGCUGAACAAGCCCCCCCCCCCCCAGCCUUCUAUGGGCAGUUAUCUCCUUCACAACUUACUCACCUUCCAAAGACUUGUAUUAGUUCUGUUGCACUGGGGACUAGGCUUGAACAUGCAAAUUUAGAGAUACAGACAUUGAAAACACAGCACAGGCAUUUGCAGGCAUUGGGGCAAUUGUCAAUAAGCAGUUUCCAGUGAAGAGUCUACUUGGCUCUCUUCUUGCCACGCAAGAAAGGGAACAACAGAGUUGAUUAGAGUGAUAUGGUUUUAAAGGCAGUUUAAGAACAUUCUAAUUUGUUUUUUAAAGUUCUUUUUAAAGUUUUGUAUGUUAUGAUUGAUUAACAACCUUGUAACAUCAUAUUUAAGACACACUAAAUAGGAGAUGCCCCAAAGCACAGAGAAUGAGCCCUAUGCAAAACACUGUCUGAGCAGCCCCAGUUUAUCUACAACCGUGAGGAAUUUGAGCUGUGGGGAGUAAGCUCUUCAGAAAAAAAAAAAAACAAACAAACAAACAAAAAAAACCCCACAGCAUUAAAAGCAGAGAUGUGAAGCAUUGUGAAACUUGGACUUCAUCACCCCGAGAAAUGGCCAGUCCAGGCCGUCUGGUCUCGGAAACCUUGCCCAGCGUGAACGUUGGAGGCAGAAGAUGAUAAAGAUGUCCCAGGUGUGCCCAGAGUCCCACACAUCUCACCAGCUAAGCUUCUGAGCUCAUCAGCUCCCUACUGUGCAGCUUUCCUUCAUUCAUGUAGCUUGGGGAAGUUUGACUGGAAGCCUCAGGAAUAAAUUUGGAUAUUUUUCCAUAUCAUAAGGACAUGCAACAAUACGGCUUAUUAAUUUAGUGCAAAUGAGUAAUAUAGUCUAAUCUAAACUGUGUUAAAAUUUUAAAAACUCUUCUUUGUAUUCUAUCUACCAUUUAAAACAAAACACCAUAAACAAAUGGGGGGUAUUAUAGAUGUAAAGUGUUAUUCAGCAAGAUUUAUUCAAGGUCUUAAAUGAUUCAGGCAUUAAGAACAUAAAAAUACUCAAAAUCCUCUGUAAACCCCAUAUUCCCUAACCGCUGGUUUAUAAAAACAUCUGGGGCUAUAGAAUUCGUCUGGUUCUUCUAGUUGACCGUGUUACUUUAAACUAAGUCAGAAAGUUGAAGCAAAUCAUUCCUUUCGUGUGUAUUUCCUGGCAAACGCGUGUCAUUUAUUUUAAAGAAUCUCCGAAUAAAAAGCCAAAUUGCUGGAAUGUACCUUGUCAUUAAAAUAUGGUGAAAAGC
rnacentral:lncRNA from 1 species